AUUGAACGCUGGCGGCAUGCUUUACACAUGCAAGUCGAACGGUAACAGGCCUUCGGGUGCUGACGAGUGGCGAACGGGUGAGUAAUGCAUCGGAACGUGCCCAGAGGUGGGGGAUAACGCAGCGAAAGCUGUGCUAAUACCGCAUGUGAUCUGAGGAUGAAAGCGGGAGACCAGGCAGCAAUGUUUGGCCUCGCGCCUUUGGAGCGGCCGAUGUCAGAUUAGGUAGUUGGUGGGGUAAAGGCCUACCAAGCCGACGAUCUGUAGCUGGUCUGAGAGGACGACCAGCCACACUGGGACUGAGACACGGCCCAGACUCCUACGGGAGGCAGCAGUGGGGAAUUUUGGACAAUGGGCGCAAGCCUGAUCCAGCAAUGCCGCGUGCGGGAAGAAGGCCUUCGGGUUGUAAACCGCUUUUGUACGGAACGAAAAGGCUCUGGCUAAUACCUGGGGCUGAUGACGGUACCGUAAGAAUAAGCACCGGCUAACUACGUG
rnacentral:rRNA from 1 species